rnacentral:misc_RNA from 1 species
GAAAUGCGAUAAGUAAUGUGAAUUGCAGAAUUCAGUGAAUCAUCGAAUCUUUGAACGCACCUUGCGCUCCUUGGUAUUCCUUGGAGCAUGCCUGUUUGAGUAUCAUGAAAUCUUCAAAGUAAAUCUUUUGUUAACUCAAUUGGUUUCUACUUUGGUAUUGGAGGUCUUUGCAGCUUCACACCUGCUCCUCUUUGUUCAUUAGCUGGAUCUCAGUGUUAUGCUUGGUUCCACUCGGCGGGAUAAGUUAUCUAUCGCUGAGGACACUGUAAAAGGUGGCCAAGGUAAAUGCAGAUGAACCGCUUCUAAUAGUCCAUUGACUUGGACAAUACUUUUAUGAUCUGAUCUCAAAUCAGGUAGGACUACCCGCUGAACUUAAGC